AAAUUGAAGAGUUUGAUCAUGGCUCAGAUUGAACGCUGGCGGCAGGCCUAACACAUGCAAGUCGAACGGUAGCACAGAGAGCUUGCUCUCGGGUGACGAGUGGCGGACGGGUGAGUAAUGUCUGGGAAACUGCCCGAUGGAGGGGGAUAACUACUGGAAACGGUAGCUAAUACCGCAUAACGUCGCAAGACCAAAGUGGGGGACCUUCGGGCCUCACACCAUCGGAUGUGCCCAGAUGGGAUUAGCUAGUAGGUGGGGUAACGGCUCACCUAGGCGACGAUCCCUAGCUGGUCUGAGAGGAUGACCAGCCACACUGGAACUGAGACACGGUCCAGACUCCUACGGGAGGCAGCAGUGGGGAAUAUUGCACAAUGGGCGCAAGCCUGAUGCAGCCAUGCCGCGUGUAUGAAGAAGGCCUUCGGGUUGUAAAGUACUUUCAGCGAGGAGGAAGGCGUUGUGGUUAAUAACCACAGCGAUUGACGUUACUCGCAGAAGAAGCACCGGCUAACUCCGUGCCAGCAGCCGCGGUAAUACGGAGGGUGCAAGCGUUAAUCGGAAUUACUGGGCGUAAAGCGCACGCAGGCGGUUUGUUAAGUCAGAUGUGAAAUCCCCGGGCUCAACCUGGGAACUGCAUUUGAAACUGGCAAGCUUGAGUCUCGUAGAGGGGGGUAGAAUUCCAGGUGUAGCGGUGAAAUGCGUAGAGAUCUGGAGGAAUACCGGUGGCGAAGGCGGCCCCCUGGACAAAGACUGACGCUCAGGUGCGAAAGCGUGGGGAGC
rnacentral:rRNA from 1 species